rnacentral:misc_RNA from 1 species
AGAUUCGAAGCUUUUAGGUGGCGUUUUUUUACAGACGAUCUAGUUUUCUUCGUCACUCCAGUCACUCACAGGCUGUCAGUUAGACUGAUGGUAAAUUUUCAAAUUAGCUUUGUCGUGUCGUGUCUGACUUCACUUGGAAAAUGAGAAGGAAACGAAAGAGCAAUUCUGGUCCUUCACCAAAGAGAAAUCGAGUAGAUACUGAUUGUCUGGUGGUUAAUAAUGUUGAUCUACCAACAAAUGACUUGGAAUCACCUGGUGAUGGUGACCCAUUGAACAACCUAGAAAGUCCAGAUUCAAACCCUGAUUUGCUGAACAGUGUUCACACCUCAUAUACUGCUUUACAAACAAAACGUUUAGAGUACCCUGAACAGUACUUCAAAUUCCACAAAUGUGGAAACAAGCCAGGAAAUUCCCUAUACAAAUGUAUGGUAGGUGACUGUCAGUCGAAAGAAAAAAUUCUUUCAACUACAGAUAAUUCAAGAGGCAACCUCAGGAAACACAUCAAGACAUGUCAUGGCAAUUCUCUAGAGAAGUUUUCUCGUCUGUGUAGAGAGAUUGAUGUUAAAUCUAGUGGGAAGUCAAUCGGUGAAACUGCACCACCACACAAAGAGUCUACUCAGUUGAAACUGUCAUUUGAAGGAUAUCCAAAGGCCUUAACACAAGCUUUGCUUGAUUCCUACGUCGGAUCUAGUCUGAAGGAAAAUUCCGUUGCCAAUGACUCUUUGUACAGUUCCUCAUCCAAAGAUAAAAGUAUACCACCCACAUCAAAAGGAUUUCUUAAAAUAUACACAAAAACUGGAGAUAGUGGAAUGACAUCAACAUUUACGGGAGAAAGGCGUGCUAAGGAUGAUAACAUAUUUCAGGCACUAGGUGCAGUGGACGAACUUGCUUCCUGUAUAGGGCUUGCAAGAGAAUUUGGUUUGGAAAAUGGCCACCCAUACACUGACCAUCUUCAAAGAAUCCAGUGUAUUUUGCAAGAUGUAAAUGCCUGUAUAGCAACACCAUAUUCUUCAGCUCGUGAAGCACAUUUGAAGAAAACAGAAUUUGACUCUGGGCAUGUUGAGGAAGUAGAAGAAUGGAUAGAUUCUUACACUAAUCACCUUCCACCUCUGGAAAACUUUAUUCUGCCAGGUGGAGGAAAAGCAAGCUCGUCACUUCAUGUUGCUCGAACAGUUUGUCGAAGAGCCGAAAGAGCUAUUGUACCCAUUGUUCGAGAGCAACAUAUAAACCCAGAAACACUUAAAUACGUCAAUCGUUUAUCUGACCUGCUGUUCACCUUAGCGAGGUAUGCCGCCAAACUGGAUGGAAGACAAGAAACUGUCUACAUUAGACCUGGCAAAAAAUGAAGUGUAUUCCAUUUUGAACGUAGGCUUCAGUUUUGAAAUGUGCACACCUCCGUAAAGAAUUACAGGACACAAUGUUGAAACAUGAAAAUUUGCAAGGUUGUUAUAGUGUGCAUCAAAUGUGUUUCAAACCAACCUAUCUACAUCGGCUUAUAGCAGUUGUUGGUUGGGGGGUUGGGUUGUUGGUGCGGGUUUUGUGGAAUAUGAAGGGUGAAGUUAUACUUGCGACAAUGUACAAUUGAACUAUUAAGUUUUACGGAAUAUAAAAAGGUUUGUUCAAAA